AAUGCUCUGCGACACCGGAGCACUGCAGAGACGCUGAUUAGAUUGUUUCUAAAGUACGCGUUGCUAUCAGUGAACUGUUCUGUGUUGUUAAACGCUUGAUUGCGUGUCGUCUCGUCCUUUUUCAUGCUAGCGGCAGCGUUGAGUUGUGCCCAAUGUUUUGAAACUCCCGGCCCGCGCGCUCUGGGUUUUCACGCCGCGUCCAGCGGGAUGGCGCGGUUCGACUGGCGCUGGCGUUUGGCGUAUUGAUAGGACACGCUCCUAACUGGGUGUCGUCGUUGUGCUCGUGUACGGCGUGUGCCUCGCGCCGGCGUGCGGAAGUCUGUAUCAUCAAGAAAAAACUGCAGGUGGCUGGAAGCUGCCGAUCAGCUGCCAGUCUGGAUAGUAGCCAUCAACUCAGCAAAGGCCUGCAGGCGAAUCAGCCCAACCUGUUUCUCUGCUGCCUUUCAAGACAGGAUGCUUUGUGAAAAGUGAAACGGGGCCCACGCACUGCUUCCGCAGGGCCCUGCUGUGGGAGCUCAUGGAGGUGGCACGGUGCAUGGAAGGACAGAGUGGCUGACAGUGAGCUGCCCAAGCAAGCUGCUGGCUCUUGUGACCGUCUCCGAAAGCCUGUGGAUGGGCUAAAUUGCAGACGUGCCUGGACAUUUAUAAAUGGUGCUGCUAUCCAGCUCUACGUCACAGCCAUGAAGUGGCCAUGGGGUGAACUAUGUACAACUGCUGUCAUUAGUACUCGAAUCGGCAGAGCCACCUACUAGCUGUGAAGCCCAGUUGCCAGGCAGCAGAUACUCGACCAGCAACCAGCCUUUGUCGCUCUAGUGGGACACGAGAGCGACAAACAGAAACAAACGACAGCUACAAGCCUCCAACCCAUUCAGCAUGCCCGUGGUGGUACUUUUG